rnacentral:rRNA from 1 species
AGAGUUUGAUCCUGGCUCAGAUUGAACGCUGGCGGUAGGCUUAACACAUGCAAGUCGAGCGGAAACGAAGAAUAGCUUGCUAUUCUGGUGUCGAGCGGCGGACGGGUGAGUAAUGCUUGGGAAUAUGCCUUAUGGUGGGGGACAACAGUUGGAAACGACUGCUAAUACCGCAUAACGUCUACGGACCAAAGGGGGGGAUCUUCGGACCUCUCGCCAUUUGAUUAGCCCAAGUGAGAUUAGCUAGUUGGUAAGGUAAAGGCUUACCAAGGCGACGAUCUCUAGCUGGUUUGAGAGGAUGAUCAGCCACACUGGGACUGAGACACGGCCCAGACUCCUACGGGAGGCAGCAGUGGGGAAUAUUGCACAAUGGGCGAAAGCCUGAUGCAGCCAUGCCGCGUGUGUGAAGAAGGCCUUCGGGUUGUAAAGCACUUUCAGUUGUGAGGAAAGGGAUGUAGUUAAUAGCUGCAUUCUGUGACGUUAACAACAGAAGAAGCACCGGCUAACU